rnacentral:rRNA from 1 species
ACCGGAUAAGAAAGCAGUUCGCAUGAACAGCUUUUAAAAGGCGGCGCAAGCUGUCGCUAAAGGAUGGACCCGCGGUGCAUUAGCUAGUUGGUAAGGUAACGGCCUACCAAGGCAGUGAUGCAUAGCCGAGUUGAGAGACUGAUCGGCCACAUUGGGACUGAGACACGGCCCAAACUCCUACGGGAGGCAGCAGUAGGGAAUCUUCCACAAUGGACGCAAGUCUGAUGGAGCAACGCCGCGUGAGUGAAGAAGGUUUUCGGACCGUAAAGCUCUGUUGUUGGUGAAGAAGGAUAGAGGUAGUAACUGGCCUUUAUUUGACGGUAAUCAACCAGAAAGUCACGGCUAACUACGUGCCAGCAGCCGCGGUAAUACGUAGGUGGCAAGCGUUGUCCGGAUUUAUUGGGCGUAAAGCGAGCGCAGGCGGAAGAAUAAGUCUGAUGUGAAAGCCCUCGGCUUAACCGAGGAAUUGCAUCGGAAACUGUUUUUCUUGAGUGCAGAAGAGGAGAGUAGAACUCCAUGUGUAGCGGUGGAAUGCGUAGAUAUAUGGAAGAAUACCAGUGGCGAAGGCGGCUCUCUGGUCUGCAACUGACGCUGAGGCUCGAAAGCAUGGGUAGCGAACAGGAUUAGAUACCCUGGUAGUCCAUGCCGUAAACGAUGAGUGCUAAGUGUUGGGAGGCUUCCGCCUCUCAGUGCUGCAGCUAACGCAUUAAGCACUCCGCCUGGGGAGUACGACCGCAAGGUUGAAACUCAAAGGAAUUGACGGGGGCCCGCACAAGCGGUGGAGCAUGUGGUUUAAUUCGAAGCAACGCGAAGAACCUUACCAGGUCUUGACAUCUAGUGCCAUUUGUAGAGAUACAAAGUUCCCUUCGGGGACGCUAAGACAGGUGGUGCAUGGCUGUCGUCAGCUCGUGUCGUGAGAUGUUGGGUUAAGUCCCGCAACGAGCGCAACCCUUGUUAUUAGUUGCCAGCAUUAAGUUGGGCACUCUAAUGAGACUGCCGGUGACAAACCGGAGGAAGGUGGGGAUGACGUCAAGUCAUCAUGCCCCUUAUGACCUGGGCUACACACGUGCUACAAUGGGCAGCACAACGAGCAGCGAGCCUGCAAAGGCAAGCAAAUCUCUGAAAGCUGUUCUCAGUUCGGACUGCAGUCUGCAACUCGACUGCACGAAGCUGGAAUCGCUAGUAAUCGCGGAUCAGCACGCCGCGGUGAAUACGUUCCCGGGCCUUGUACACACCG